CCUACGGGUGGCAGCAGUGGGGAAUAUUGCACAAUGGGGGAAACCCUGAUGCAGCAACGCCGCGUGAGCGAUGAAGGCCUUCGGGUCGUAAAGCUCUGUCCUAAGGGAAGAAUACUGACGGUACCUUAGGAGGAAGCCCCGACUAACUACGUGCCAGCAGCCGCGGUAAUACGUAGGGGGCUAGCGUUAUCCGGAAUUACUGGGCGUAAAGGGUGCGUAGGCGGCCCUUCAAGUCAGAGGUGAAGGGCUACGGCUCAACCGUAGUAAGCCUUUGAAACUGUAGGGCUUGAGUGCAGGAGAGGGGAGUGGAAUUCCCAGUGUAGGGGUGAAAUGGGUAGAUAUUGGGAGGAACACCAGUUGCGAAGGGGGCUCUCUGGAGUGUAACUGACGCGGGGGCACGAAAGCGUGGGGAGGGAAAAGGAUUAGAUACCCGGGUAGUC
rnacentral:rRNA from 1 species